UACGUAGGGUGCAAGCGUUGUCCGGAAUUAUUGGGCGUAAAGAGCUCGUAGGCGGUUCGGUAAGUCAGGUGUGAAAUCUCCACGCUCAACGUGGAGGCGCCACCUGAAACUGCCGUGACUCGAGUCCGGUAGGGGAGUGUGGAAUUCCUGGUGUAGCGGUGAAAUGCGCAGAUAUCAGGAGGAACACCGGUGGCGAAGGCAGGUCUCUGGGCAUUAACUGACGCUGAGGAGCGAAAGCAUGGGGAGCGAACAGG
rnacentral:rRNA from 1 species